UACGUAGGGUGCGAGCGUUAAUCGGAAUUACUGGGCGUAAAGCGUGCGCAGGCGGUUCGUUGUGUCGGCGGUGAAAGCCCCGGGCUUAACCUGGGAAUGGCCGUUGAAACUGGCGAACUGGAGUGUGGCAGAGGGGGGUGGAAUUCCGCGUGUAGCAGUGAAAUGCGUAGAGAUGCGGAGGAACACCGGCGGUGUAGACGGCUUUCUGGACCGUAGCUGACGCUGAGACACGAAAGCGUGGGUAGCAAACAGG
rnacentral:rRNA from 1 species